UUCUUGGCAACGCCGUUACAGCUCGUUGAUCCGAAAAUCUCUUCCGAGGCUCGAAUCGAACAACUCUCCUUUCCAACGCAGGCCUGCAAAUUAAUUUUCAUACCCACAAAACAAAAGAUCAGAAUCCUUGAUCAAGGAUGGAGAUGGCAUCGUUUACUCCUUCGCAGCUGCCUUUGGCAAGCGCCCCGCAAGCGCCAUUGGAGUCGCCGAAGCUCGCGAAACGGAUGGCCGAAAUGGGCCGGCCCUCGCACGAGAGCUCCAGGGUUUUGUUCUCAUAGGCUUUUCCACACACAGUUUCCGGGCUAAUUGUUUGGAACUUCACCAGCGAUGGGUUACCUCCAAAUUCUUCGAACAGCACCAACGUGUUCUCAUCAUCGUUCAGAAAAGACCGCGGAACAUGGACCAGGUAAUCCGGAGGCCACGACAUCGAAUAAAGGCCCGUAAUUCUGCUCCAAGAAAAGAGAGAGAAAUCAAUCAUUCUGAUCAAUUUGCUGAAGAUCAAUCUAGUUUUGCUUUCAAAUCAUAUACCGGAAAUCCAACGGUGGCGCUGAGCAAUGUGAUCUGGUUUUUGCCGGGUUUCAGUUUCACUUUCUCCUCAAAGACGGAGUUGAAAACUCCAUAUGUAUCCCAUCGAGAUCCUGUGCAAGAACAGCAUGAAAAAUUGAUCAAAAUGGAGGGAUUCACUGACAUUUAUGCAUCCAAAAUAAUUACUUACCAACGAGUUCACUAUUGACAAAAGCAUGAAGUACGUGGCCAGUGCCAUUCACUCUAACACUCAAAUUAUGACUCCAUAUUGGAUCAUCUUCCUUGAUGCUAACACUGAAUGAUGAGAUCCGAUUAAAAUGAGUUUAGCAUGCCGGAAAAAUCCAAAUAAAUAAAUAAGCAAAACGGAAAUUGAUUUCAGCCCCUCUUCGCGGACUCAAAUCUGCUGAAUGGGCCAGCACCAAAAUCACAGCAAAAACCAUGUGAAAUUAAUUACCUUGUCAUGUACCAUAGAUAAUCGCUGACAUCAUUAAUGGAUUUCUGAUCCACAAGUUGAUUCAAGGACAGAUGGCCCUUUCCAAGAAGAAUUGUAUCGUCUGUGUUCUCUGGCCGCCACUUCCAGCUGAGACGUUCUGGUUCGCUCUCGGCGGGGCUCGUCUUCUUCACUCUCACAGAAGUUUGGGCGUUUACCUAUGUAUAAAAACGUGCAUUCUAUUAACAAGCGUCGUGGUUUCCAAAAAUCGAGUCAAUAAGAUGAGUCUUUUUUUGGUUUUACCUUUGCCGUGUUGUAUUCUUCAUGGAUGCAAUCCGGAAGAAUGCUCACAGACCAAGCCGGAACGGUGAAUUCCUUUCCCAGGACGGCGACAAUGGCGUCAUCCGUAGUAUUCGCGUUGCCGAAGAAGCAGGCUGAUGUUUCGUCGGUCGAGUAAGUUGUCGCCUGCAAGAGCCCAAAACCGUCGGUAACUCAAAAGUAAUAUAAAUGUCACCGAAAAUAUAUAUAUAUUUAUAUUGUCAAAUGGACCGAUUUGGCCCGUACAAUUUGGGCCCUUGGGUCUAAUCAUGCUAUACGGGGUCUCAAGGCCCAAAACUCGCAUGGCCGAAACUGAGAGUGGGAGUAGACAAUAUAUA